UCGGAGUAGCUCAGUUAGUUAGAGCACAGCUCUUGUUGCGGGUUCGAAUCCCGUUUACACUCCGAA
rnacentral:tRNA from 1 species